UAGGGAAUCUUCCACAAUGGACGCAAGUCUGAUGGAGCAACGCCGCGUGAGUGAAGACGGUUUUCGGAUCGUAAAGCUCUGUUGUUGGUGAAGAAGGAUAGAGGCAGUAACUGGUCUUUAUUUGACGGUAAUCAACCAGAAAGUCACGGCUAACUACGUGCCAGCAGCCGCGGUAAUACGUUGGUGGCAAGCGUUGUCCGGAUUUAUUGGGAGUAAAGCGAGCGCAGGCGGAAUGAUAAGUCUGAUGUGAAAGCCCACGGCUCCACCGUGGAACAGCGGCGGAAACUGUCAUUCUUGAGUGCAGAAGAGGAGAGUGGAAUUCCAUGUGUAGCGGUGGAAUGCGUAGAUAUAUGGAAGAACACCAGUGGCGAAGGCGGCUCUCUGGACUGCAACUGACGCUGAGGCUCGAAAGCAUGGGGAGCGAACAGG
rnacentral:rRNA from 1 species